rnacentral:rRNA from 1 species
GGUUGUAGUUAAAUGAAUUAUAUAGAUUGUGAUACAGGUACAAAUAAAUAAAAGGUAAAAUUAGGAUGUUAUUUUGUAUGGAAACUCAAUUAUAAUUGAAGCUAAGAAAAAUUAGUAAUAAACUAGGAUUAGAUACCCUACUAUUCUAAAGUAGUUAAAUUAAAACUGAAUUAGUAAAAGUUAGAUACUUAAAAUUUAAAAAAUUUGGCGGCAAUUUAAUCUUUUCAGAGGAACCUGUUUUAGAAUCGAUAAGCCACGAAAAAUCUUACUUGGCUUUGUUAUAAACAGUUUGUAUACCAUCAUUAUCAGAUGAUUCUUAGAGGAAAAAAUUGUUGGGUAUGGUUGUCUAAAUAAAUUAGAUCAUGGUGCAGCUUAUAGUCAAGGUAAAAUGGGUUACAAUAAAUUAUUUUAUUGCGGAUUAGACAAAAUAAUUUUGUUAUGAAGAAGGAUUUGAUUGUAUCAAAAGUUUAAUAAGCUAAUGAGAUAUAAGUUAUAAAUUGUGUACAUAUCGCCCGUCGCUUUCAUUUAUAAGU